rnacentral:rRNA from 1 species
CUGUUGGAAUAAGGGCUGGGUAAGACGGGUGCCAGCCGCCGCGGUAAUACCCGCAGCCCAAGUGGUGGUCGAUAUUAUUGAGUCUAAAACGUUCGUAGCCGGUUCAAUAAAUCUCUGGGUAAAUCGGAGGGCUUAACCUUCCGAAUUCCGGAGAGACUGUUGAACUUGGGACCGGGAGAGGCAAGAGGUACUUCUGGGGUAGGGGUAAAAUCCUGUAAUCCUAGAAGGACCACCGGUGGCGAAGGCGUCUUGCUAGAACGGAUCCGACGGUGAGGGACGAAGCCCUGGGUCGCAAACGGGAUUAGAUACCCGUGUAGUCC